GACGAACGCUGGCGGCGUGCUUAACACAUGCAAGUCGAGCGGUAAGGCCUUUUCGGGGGUACACGAGCGGCGAACGGGUGAGUAACACGUGGGUGACCUGCCCUCAGCUCUGGGAUAAGCCCGGGAAACUGGGUCUAAUACCGGAUAUGACUCCAUGACGCAUGUUGUGGGGUGGAAAGCCUUGUGCGGCUGAGGAUGGGCCCGCGGCCUAUCAGCUUGUUGGUGGGGUGAUGGCCUACCAAGGCGACGACGGGUAGCCGGCCUGAGAGGGCGACCGGCCACACUGGGACUGAGACACGGCCCAGACUCCUACGGGAGGCAGCAGUGGGGAAUCUUGCGCAAUGGGCGAAAGCCUGACGCAGCGACGCCGCGUGAGGGAUGACGGCCU
rnacentral:rRNA from 1 species